CCAGUCCAAAUCCACCUUGAUCUGGCAGCUGCAUGCCUAUUUCAAUGCGAGGACUUGUGGCUAACUCCAGAAGUAUCCAGAGUCUCAGACUGACACGUCUGUAGUCCUUCCUACAAGCAAUAGUAUGGUCCACAGAACUCCUC